GGGCCUAUAGCUCAGUUGGUCAGAGCAGUCGACUCAUAAUCGAUUGGUCGUAGGUUCAAGUCCUACUGGGCCCA
rnacentral:tRNA from 3 species